CCUACGGGAGGUAGCAGUGGGGAAUAUUGGACAAUGGGGGGAACCCUGAUCCAGCCAUGCCGCGUGUGUGAAGAAGGCCCUCGGGUUGUAAAGCACUUUCAGUGAGGAAGAACGCCUGGUGGUUAAUACCCAUCAGGAAAGACAUCACUCACAGAAGAAGCACCGGCUAACUCCGUGCCAGCAGCCGCGGUAAUACGGAGGGUGCGAGCGUUAAUCGGAAUUACUGGGCGUAAAGCGCGCGUAGGUGGCUUGAUAAGCCGGUUGUGAAAGCCCCGGGCUCAACCUGGGAACGGCAUCCGGAACUGUCAAGCUAGAGUGCAGGAGAGGAAGGUAGAAUUCCCGGUGUAGCGGUGAAAUGCGUAGAGAUCGGGAGGAAUACCAGUGGCGAAGGCGGCCUUCUGGACUGACACUGACACUGAGGUGCGAAAGCGUGGGUAGCAAACAGGAUUAGAUACCCCUGUAGUC
rnacentral:rRNA from 1 species